GCCGACUAAACUACACAAAUAUAUUAAUGUAACUAAACAAAACAUUUGACCCACCAAGUAGAUGCGAUCGAACAGUAAACAACCAAUCAGUACCGCAAGGGACAACCAUAAGCAACAAACAGCAAAGAUUAACCCUUGUACCUUUCGCAUCAUGGUUUAGCAAGAAACCACAGACAAGAAGAAUCAUAGCCUUCACCCCGAAACCAGAUGAGCUACUUUAAAGCAGCUUAAUGAGCACACCCUUCUCUGUAGCAAAAGAGUGGGAAGACUUAAAAGUAGAGGUGAAACGCCUACCGAAUCUGGAGAUAGCUGGCUACCCCAAAAAGAAUCUAAGUUCAACCUUAAACCAAAACAAUAUUCCCUUAUUGACCUUAAGGAUAAUCAAUAAAGGUACAGCUUUAUUGAUACAGGAUACAACCUGAAUUUGAGAGAACAAAAAACACACCACCAGUAGGCCUUAAAGCAGCCACCCAACAAAAUAUCGUUAUAGAAUUAACCAUAAAAACCCAAAAAUCAACCAAAAACUCCAAAUUAACUAAAGGUAGACCUAUAAAUAUAGGUAUUAUUAUGCUAAAACUAAUAAUAAGACAACCUCUCUUCAAUGCACCUUUCCCCUAGACCGGAUAAACCACUAGCCUUUAACAGACCAAAACAGGCAUAAACCAAACCAAUACCUACCCAAAAACAAACUGUGACCCCAACACAGGAGCAUUAAAAAGAAAGAUAAAACAUUAUAAAAGGAACUCGGCAAACACAGACCCCAACUGUUUAACAAAAACAUAACCUUUAGCCAAACAAAUAUUAAAGGCGACGCCUGCCCGGUGAACAAUUAAACGGCCGCGGUAUCCUAACCGUGCAAAGGUAGCAUAAUCAUUUGUCUACUAAUUAUAGACCUGUAUGAAAGGCAAAAUGAGGGUCUAACUGUCUCUUAUAAUAAGUCAAUUAAACUGAUCUCCUAGUAAAAAAGCUAGAAUACCACCACAAGACCAGAAGACCCUGUGAAGCUUAAACUAAACUAUUAAACCACAUAAUAGCUACUUUCGGUUGGGGCGACCUUGGAAAAAAAAAGAACUUCCAACACAUGACAUUCCUCAUACCAAUCAGGCCCACUAGCCUACAAAAGACCCAGCAAAGCUGACAAACGAACCAAGUUACUCCAGGGAUAACAGCGCAAUCUUCUUCAAGAGCCCAUAUCAAAAAGAAGGUUUACGACCUCGAUGUUGGAUCAGGACAUCCUAAUGGUGCAACCGCUAUUAAGGGUUCGUUUGUUCAACGAUUAACAGUCCUACGUGAUCUGAGUUCAGACCGGAGCAAUCCAGGUCGGUUUCUAUCUAUGAAUUUAGCCUUGCCCAGUACGAAAGGACCGAUAAGGCAAAGCCAAUACUACAAGCACGCUUUAACCAAAGAUAUUUAACCCACAUCACCACAAACACCAUAAAACCAAGAGAAGGUUAAUUAAGGACCACCUUA
rnacentral:rRNA from 1 species